rnacentral:rRNA from 1 species
GAUGAACGCUCGCGGCAGGCCUAAUACAUGCAAGUCGGACGGGAUUCAGGAGCUUGCUUCUGAUGAGAGUGGCGCACGGGUGCGUAACACGUAUGUAACCUACCUUUAUCAGGGGGAUAGCCUCUCGAAAGAGAGAUUAAGCCCGCAUAAAAUCACAGCACAGCAUUGUGUAAUGAUCAAAUAUUUAUAGGAUAAAGAUGGGCAUGCGGAACAUUAGCUAGAUGGCGGGGUAACGGCCCACCAUGGCGACGAUGUUUAGGGGAUCUGAGAGGAUGGCCCCCCACACUGGUACUGAGACACGGACCAGACUCCUACGGGAGGCAGCAGUAAGGAAUAUUGGUCAAUGGGCGGAAGCCUGAACCAGUCAUGCCGCGUGCAGGAAGACGGCCCUACGGGUUGUAAACUGCUUUUAGACGGGAAUAAACCCAGAUACGUGUAUCUGGCUGAAUGUACUGUAAGAAUAAGGAUCGGCUAACUCCGUG